rnacentral:rRNA from 1 species
AUUGAACGCUGGCGGCAGGCCUAACACAUGCAAGUCGAGCGGAUGAAGGGAGCUUGCUCCUGGAUUCAGCGGCGGACGGGUGAGUAAUGCCUAGGAAUCUGCCUGGUAGUGGGGGAUAACGUCCGGAAACGGGCGCUAAUACCGCAUACGUCCUGAGGGAGAAAGUGGGGGAUCUUCGGACCUCACGCUAUCAGAUGAGCCUAGGUCGGAUUAGCUAGUUGGUGGGGUAAAGGCCUACCAAGGCGACGAUCCGUAACUGGUCUGAGAGGAUGAUCAGUCACACUGGAACUGAGACACGGUCCAGACUCCUACGGGAGGCAGCAGUGGGGAAUAUUGGACAAUGGGCGAAAGCCUGAUCCAGCCAUGCCGCGUGUGUGAAGAAGGUCUUCGGAUUGUAAAGCACUUUAAGUUGGGAGGAAGGGCAGUAAGUUAAUACCUUGCUGUUUUGACGUUACCAACAGAAGAAGCAGCGGCUAACUUCGU